rnacentral:lncRNA from 1 species
CACCAAUUUAUGCUUCACUGCAUUUUUCUUUGCAAGGUCCUAAGCUCUCACCUUGAUACCAUCUGCAUUUGCCAGAAUCACUAAGUAGGGUGGUAGGUAAAGUCCAGGACUAUGUGACUUCGAAUAAGUCAGCACCAAAGGGAUGUUACUUUACAACACGUGCUGUGCCCUUCAUAGUAAAUGAACAUAACCUUUACGACAUUCCCUGUCCCCAAACACCCAUGGGGAAAGAGAUCCAUUGUUCUUUCUGCCUCUCAAGGAACAGAGCACAGCAGAUACUGUCUGGCACAACAUGUUUGUUUUCAGAUCCAACAAUGCAUAUUUUGCAAUUAACAUACCCACUUCUACACAAAAAAAGGUGAUUCACACAAAAGCCUGCUUAUAUGAUGUACGAACAAUAAACAGAAAGCUAU